UACGGAGGGUGCGAGCGUUGUCCGGAAUCACUGGGCGUAAAGGGCGCGUAGGCGGUCUGAUAAGUAGGGGGUGAAAUCCUGCGGCUUAACCGCAGGGCUGCCUUCUAAACUGUCAGGCUAGAGCACAGUAGGGGCAGGUGGAAUUCCCGGUGUAGCGGUGGAAUGCGUAGAGAUCGGGAAGAACAUCAGUGGCGAAGGCGGCCUGCUGGGCUGUUGCUGACGCUGAGGCGCGACAGCGUGGGGAGCAAACAGG
rnacentral:rRNA from 1 species